CCGAAGCGGAAGGUGCGCACUUAACCUCUGUGCCACCAGGCCGACCCAGGGCAGGAUAGCCUGGGCUUCUGUACAGCCUGCCAGCUGGGGCCAAGAGGGAGCCUUCUGAGCGGACGGGCCCUGAUGUGGAAAAGCUUACGAAGCCUGCUCAUAUCACUGCAAACAUUCUGGAUGUGACUUGCUUUGUUUCAAUCUAUAAUGAGCAUUU